AGACUAAUAAGUUAGGGUCAGUUACCUCAAAACCUAUUUAAGUGUCUCUUUCUGUAACCUUCUUUGUAAUUCCAGUAGAGAAAACUACUACUACUACUUCUUCUUCUUCUUCUCUGUUUGAUCAUCUGCACCUGAAUUUUUCUCUGAUACAUCUUUACUUUCUAAAGCUCCUCCAAAAAAAAUAUGCUGCUUAAAUAUCUAGCAGCCUUUCUUCUGGUUCUGGGUUUUGCAACUGCUGAGGAUCCUUACAGAUUUUUCGACUGGAACGUAACCUACGGGGACAUAUAUCCACUCGGUGUUCGUCAACAGGGAAUUCUUAUCAAUGGCCAGUUUCCGGGGCCUGAAAUCUACUCCGUGACCAAUGACAACCUCAUUAUCAAUGUUCAUAACAGCUUGCCGGAGCCUUUCCUUAUUUCAUGGAAUGGAGUUCAACAGAGGAGGAAUUCAUACCAAGAAUCCCAGUCCCAUUCCCAGACCCAGCUGGUGAUUACUCCAUUCUCAUUGGAGAUUGGUACAAGACUGACCACAAGAUAUUGAAGGGCAUUUUAGAUCGUGGUCACAGGCUUCCCUACCCAGAUGGCAUUAUAAUCAAUGGACGUGGACCAAAUGGAACAUAUUUCACAUUUGACCAAGGUAAAACUUACAGGCUUAGGAUUUCAAAUGUUGGGCUCCAGAACUCUCUCAACUUCAGGAUCCAGGGCCACAAAUUGAAGCUGGUUGAAGUUGAAGGGACCCACACCAUCCAGACCACCUAUGAUUCACUUGACAUCCAUGUGGGCCAGUCUUAUUCUGUGCUCGUCACAGCAGAUCAGGCCCCUCAGGACUAUUACAUUGCUGUCUCAACCCGUUUUACCAGCCAGGUCCUCACAAGCACUGCCGUCUUUCACUACAGCAACUCGGCCCGUCAAGUUUCCGGCCCAAUUCCCGCUGGGCCCACAACCCAAACCGGUUGGUCUCUUAGCCAGGCUCUUUCUAUUAGGACAAACCUAACGGCAAGUGGACCUAGGCCAAACCCACAAGGCUCCUACCACUAUGGUCUUGUAAAUGUGAGCAGGACAAUCAAGCUAGAGAGCUCAGCAGCUCAAGUUAGUGGAAAACAGAGAUAUGCAGUGAACAGUGUGUCCUUUAUCCCUGCAGACACACCAUUGAAGCUUGCAGACUACUUCAAGAUUGGUGGGGUUUUUAAAGCUGGAAGCAUCUCAGAUAACCCUACUGGCCAAAAGAUGUACCUUGACACUUAAGUCAUGGGUGCUGAUUUCAGAGCCUUUGUGGAGAUUGUGUUUCAGAACCAUGAGAACAUUUUGCAGAGCUGGCACUUGGAUGGAUACGCCUUUUGGGUUGUUGGAAUGGAUGGAGGCAAAUGGACACCAGCAAGCCGAAACCAAUACAACCUUAGAGAUGCAGUCUCAAGAAGCACCACCCAGGUUUAUCCCAAGUCAUGGACAGCUAUAUACAUAGCACUAGACAAUGUGGGUAUGUGGAAUUUGAGGAGUGAGUUUUGGGCAAGGCAAUACCUUGGACAACAAUUUUACCUACGAGUCUACUCACCUGUGGAGUCUGCUAGGGAUGAGUACCCAAUUCCCAGAAAUGCCCUUCUUUGUGGUAGGGCUGCAGGCAGAAGCACCAGACCUUAAUGAACAAGCUGAUUCAGAAGAUUUAUACAAAAUUAUUAAUUUAACCAUUGCAAUUAUACAUGAGUGUCCCAUUCUUUGCUACCAAAAUUUUUCUAUUGAAAUUUGUAUACUUUUGGCAAUAAAAUGCAGCUUUCAUUCA